CUUUUGUCUUUUCAGGUUGUUCCCACUCUAGUGGUGUUUUUAACACUUUCAACCUGCUCUUAUGUUGUCCAGGUUUCUGUGGCUUGCCCCACCGGCAGCUCUGACAGCUGUUGCAAAAUAGGAAGAUUCAGUCUCUUUCACCAUUAUUUCACCCCAGUAUACAUGGGACCCUGGGACCACGUGUGGAGUGCUCCAUGGAGGCUGCAUGGAAAGAGAUUUUCCCUUCUGUUCCAGAAGCACAAAGGUAUUUCUGAAGCAGAGAGACAGCCUCAGGUGAGCUGCAGUAGAGACUGAAUUAAUUAGCUUUUCUUGAGCUGUGCUGGCU
rnacentral:lncRNA from 1 species